UAUUGUAGGCUCAUGGAUAUGGAUGGUCUUCUAGAAACUAGAUGUGAUGGGUUUAAGCCACUAUUACUAUCAAUAGACUUGGGUUUUUCACAAAUUGACUUACAUAUUACCCUAUUUCAUGAAAAUCAACGUUUUCUCCAUGUUGAUGUUAGAUAUGGUGAUGCUAAAAAAUGGUUUUUAACUCUAGUGUAUUCUAGUUCUAAAGAGGUGGAGAUACGAUAUAUUUGAAAGGAGAUAACAUGGCUAGCUGAUAACAUCUCAACACUUUGGAUGAUGUUUAGAGACUUCAAUGAAAUAAUGGGGUAUGGGGAGAGAAAAAGGGGCG
rnacentral:lncRNA from 1 species